GACGUAGGGGGCGAGCGUUGUCCGGAUUUAUUGGGCGUAAAGCGUGCGUAGGCGGCUGCGCAAGUCGGGUGUGAAACCCCGGGGCUCAACCCCGGAACUGCAUUCGAUACUGCGUGGCUAGAGGUAGGUAGGGGAGAUCGGAAUUCCUGGUGUAGCGGUGAAAUGCGCAGAUAUCAGGAGGAACACCGGUGGCGAAGGCGGAUCUCUGGGCCUUACCUGACGCUCAGGCACGAAAGCGUGGGGAGCAAACAGG
rnacentral:rRNA from 1 species